GGCUGGUCUGAUGAUAGUGGGUUUAUCAGAACUUUUUAACAUCAGUGUCACUAAAGUUGGUAUACAACCCCUUACUGCUAAAUUUGACUGGCUAUAU
rnacentral:Y_RNA from 1 species